UGGGGAAUAUUGCACAAUGGGCGCAAGCCUGAUGCAGCCGUGCCGCGUGUGUGAAGAAGGCCUUCGGGUUGUAAAGCACUUUCAGCGGGGAGGAAGGCGAUAAGGUUAAUAACCUUGGCAAUUGACGUUACCGACAGAAGAAGCACCGGCUAACUCCGUGCCAGCAGCCGCGGUAAUACGGAGGGUGCAAGCGUUAAUCGGAAUUACUGGGCGUAAAGCGCACGCAGGCGGUUGAUUGAGUCAGAUGUGAAAUCCCCGGGCUUAACCCGGGAAUUGCAUCUGAUACUGGUCAGCUAGAGUCUUGUAGAGGGGGGUAGAAUUCCAUGUGUAGCGGUGAAAUGCGUAGAGAUGUGGAGGAAUACCGGUGGCGAAGGCGGCCCCCUGGACAAAGACUGACGCUCAGGUGCGAAAGCGUGGGGAGCAAACAGG
rnacentral:rRNA from 1 species